rnacentral:rRNA from 1 species
GACGAACGCUGGCGGCGUGCUUAACACAUGCAAGUCGAACGGAAAGGCCCUGCUUUUGUGGGGUGCUCGAGUGGCGAACGGGUGAGUAACACGUGAGUAACCUGCCCUUGACUUUGGGAUAACUUCAGGAAACUGGGGCUAAUACCGGAUAGGAUCUCCUGCUGCAUGGGGGGGGUUGGAAAGUUUCGGUGGUUGUGGAUGGACUCGCGGCUUAUCAGCUUGUUGGUGGAGUAGUGGCUUACCAAGGCUUUGACGGGUAGCCGGCCUGGGAGGGUGACCGGCGACAUUGGGACUGCGAUACGGCCCAGACUCCUACGGGAGGCAGCAGUGGGGAAUCUUGCAGAAUGGGCGGAAGCCUGAUGCAGCAACGCCGCGUGCGGGAUGACGGCCUUCGGGUUGUAAACCGCUUUCGCCUGUGACGAAGCGUGAGUGACGGUAAUGGGUAAAGAAGCACCGGCUAACUACGUG